CAGCAGCCGCGGGAAUACGUAGGUGGCAAGCGUUGUCCGGAAUUAUUGGGCGUAAAGGGCUCGCAGGCGGUUUCUUAAGUCUGAUGUGAAAGCCCCCGGCUCAACCGGGGAGGGUCAUUGGAAACUGGGAAACUUGAGUGCAGAAGAGGAGAGUGGAAUUCCACGUGUAGCGGUGAAACGCGUAGAGAUGUGGAGGAACACCAGUGGCGGAGGCGACUCUCUGGUCUGUAACUGACGCUGAGGAGCGAAAGCGUGGGGAGCGAACAGGAUUAGAUACCCCAGUAGUCCCUGUCUCUUAUAA
rnacentral:rRNA from 1 species